UCGCGCGGCUAGGGCACGCGACCUCCCACCGCCGGCCGUCUCUUCUUCCUCACCACCGGCCGACAGCUCUUUCUUCUCUUCACUGCCGCCGGCCGGACCUCCAUAGCCCACCCUUCUUGAUUCCAGCAGCGAUGGCAGCAAGCACCGACGACGACUCCGAGCAUCCACCUCACCUGCCGACGAUGAUCUUGUAUGGAAUCGACAACAUCAGAGAUCUCUUUGGACCAAAGGUUGAUUUCAAUGUUAUAAAGCACGGGCCUAUAUGCAGAUUGGGGCUGCAGUAAAUCACCACAACAUCCAAUACAAUCCUUUUACCAUUUAGUAUCAGUGGGCUGGUGUUUUGUUUCCUUUUCAUUUUUGUUUGUUCUGAUACAAAAGAUGUUUUUCAAAGACAUUGUUAUGCUACAUGUUGGCUAAUAAAGACUACAUAUAUAGUGCAAUAUAGGGUGAAAGAGAUGAUAUUUGGGUUCAUAAAUUAGUUACAAUGGCCCAAAGAUUGAAAUCAUUGUUCUUUUUUGCAUUCAAUUUAAUUCGUAUUCCUUAGGUUGUGGAUUAAUUUUGAGUUGAUGUUGUUCCUUAUAAUAUACAAUUCAUUUAAUUUAGUAUAAUUUUGUCUCCAUAUACGUGAAAUGGUCUUCCAUGUAGGUCAUGCUUGUCCAGCCCCAUGCAACUUAAAUUCAUGGAUCUAUCCAGCUGGCCUAGGAGUUGGUAUUUAAGUGGUCGACCAGUAGAAGAGAACAGAGGAGUUGGAUUUUUGGUUAAUAUGAUGCGAGCCUCGGUAUUGACGAAUCCCUCACCUUUCAUGGAAGCCGCAUGCUCUUUUGCUGCCGCCUCUUUUGUAUCUCUCCGUCCUCUCCGCCUCAAGUGGUUAAAUCAGUUGCUGCACCAAAUCGAUUAGCAGAGUUUCCGUAACUGCUGAAAAUGUUGAGUUAGUAUUGGAUGAAGUAAGACCAUAUCUUAUUUCUGAUGGAGGAAAUGUAGUACUUCAUGAGAUAGAAAUGUCAUAUACAGUGGUAGGUGUUUUGUCCCAGUCUCAAGCCGACAAUCCUUUUUGAUCAGUAUAUCUAGUAGAAGUAAGCAUGCAGAUCGUUGUCUUCGAGGCCGACUAGCUAUUUUGUGUUUUUUUUUUUUAAUUCGAAUGUCACUAUUUACUUUGAAACAGAACUAUUUAGUCUUUGUGUAUAGUUGAAUUCUCCUGUAAAUACUAAUACUUUGUAAUUGAAUUCUAUU